AGGACAGAGCUUGUAGAAAUUGUGAAAUUUUGAGGUAUAAGUUGGGUGACUCUCAUUCUGCCUCUUCCAUCGAAAACCUACCUCGGGCACGUUUCUUAACUUCUGAUAUUCUUUACAUGAAUCAUCUGUCAAAUGUGCACUGGAGAUGACUCUUUAUUCUCACAGAUUCCACUCAUCUUUCUUUCAGCAAUUCUUUACACAGCACCUAUGAAAAUUUAUGUCAAACAAUUUAGCCAAACUUGGGCUAUGCAUGGAAGAGAAGGGACAGAAAUGUAGCCAGAAAUCUUCAAUGUCUAUGAUGCUUGCACCAGAAAACCAUAAGCUCCUUUUGGAAAUAGGAAAUAACAAUUUGUCAAAGCAUAUUUUUCUCUCUAUUUCUAAAAAUGUGCAAUUCUUUUGAUUUUAAAAAUUUUGAGAAAUGCCAAAAGAGAAGCGAUGAUUUAGCUUCGUACAGCUUGUCUGAACUCUGUAACAGAAUAUUGGCACAUAAAGUAGUUAAUCCAAAUAAAAGAAAAUGGAACCUGACCGCUUGUUACUACCUUUAUUGCUGCUACCUAUUAUCUCUUACCUGGACUGUCUAUAAAAUCCUCUGUCCCCCCAAAAAAAUUCUUGGGAUAUGGCUCUGACUUAAAUGAUGCAUGAAUCUGCUGAAAAUAGUUGAUCCAGGAAGAUUCCAUAUUUCUCAAAGAUAAUAAAUAAAAGAGGGACUUCUGGCUUCUGGAAAUGGCACAGUAGCUUAUGUUGGACAGACCCUAUUGCAAAUAACAAUUAUAAACGUUGGACAAAAAAGAGAUUCUUUUAGAAGACCCUGGACAGCAACCAAAAUAGCUUGAAAACACAGGAGGGUAUACAAUUCUUGAAAGAAGGGAAAAAUACUGGGUAAGAUCCACAUUUGUCCAGCCUUUAUUCAUGAGGGCAUUGGUCUGGGCAGUACAUGGGGAAUAGAGUACCAGUAUAAAGCAGCAUUCUUCCCAUUCUAGAAAUCUCAGAAGUUGAAGUUUGAAAAUGCCAGAUCCACUGGAAAUUGGGGCAGGAACCUUGAAAAGGGAGCCACAGGGAGAGGGGAGGGAGCUACAAAAUCUGUCUAACAAAAUCCCCUCAAAUCUUUGGCUGACAUUAAUUAUAACAGCACAUGCAUGUGAUAAGACCUGAAGAACCCAAUGGACAGCAACAGCUGAAAGACUGGAAGAGCUGAAGUGAAAUUUCAGAAGCUGUCUGAUGCUGAGAAGAUAGUGUAUUUUUGAAUAUUUAAAUAUUUAAAUUCAAAUAUUUGAAAUGUAAAUAUUUCCAAGUUACAGAGAUUGGGUGAAGACUUUGGACAUUCCACUGAGCAACAUCUUAGAAGUAAUGACUACAUCCAAUGACUAAGACCUAUGCCCUAGAAUCAAGGGCAAAAUCAACCAAAAAAAAAAAAAAAAAAAAAAAAAAACUAAGCAAAAAGGAAGUCAAAGAGGAAGGAAUAAACGUAAGAGUGGAAAUAAAGAGAAAAGACAAAAACAGCAGAGAAAAAACAAACUGUGAUUCUUUGAAAAUAUUAAAAUUUGUAAGUCCUAAUAAGACUAAUCAAAAGAAAAAGAGACCAACCAACUAAAUCUUUUCGGACUGAAAGAAGGGACAUUAAUACGAAUUCGACACACAUUAACAGGAUAAGAAGGGGAUAUUAUAAACAACUUUAACCCAAUGUGUUGAACAAUUUAGUCAAAAUGGACAAAUUGCCUGGUCUUAUUGUUAAUUGCUUAUCUGUUACAAUUUAUCUUAUAACCUACAACCUUGCUAAAUUAAAUAGGAUUUUAAAAAUUACAUAGAUAAUUUUAUUUCUUCUUUUCCAGUCUGGCUAGACUCUCCCAUACAGUGUUGACUAGAAGCAGUAAAACACAUUCUUGCACUUUUCCUGAUCUUAGCGGGGAGUCAUUCAGUUUCCCACCAUUGUCAUGUUAGUUACAGGUUUUUUUGUAAAUGCUCUUCAAAAUUAUAAGGAUGUUCCCUUCUUUUCCUUCUUAUGCUGGGAGUUUUUAUCAGGAACAGAUGUUGGAUUUUGUCAAAUGCUUUUUUCCGUAUCUAUUCAGAUGAUCAUGUUUUUUUCCUUGUUUAGUCUGUUAAUAUAGUGAAAUAUAUUGUGUAGGGCCUCCAGGUUCCCCAGCCGUCUUUCCGUGUCCUGACCGAAAAUCACAGAGCACCUUGACUGCUGUGUGACCUGGCCAGCUGUGGAUUUUUCCCAGCAGGCUUGAAUCCAAACCAAGACCUUAAUUUCCAGGCACUGAUAAAGUUAUCUAGUUUGUUGCCCAAAACACUAAAAUGAACUGGCCGUGGCCCUGAGCCAAAUUCCUUAAGCCCUUAUAUAAACUCCAUAUCCUAAUCCUCUUGUAACUUCUAUCCUUUUUUCUUGCUGUUUGUGGUGAGGAUCGCUGCAGUUCAUGCAUAUAAAAGUUCCCCUAAUAAAUGUUUUGGACUGAU